CUAGAGAAAGAGGACUCUCCCCCUCCUUAAUGGC
rnacentral:tRNA from 1 species